rnacentral:rRNA from 1 species
UACGUAGGGUGCAAGCGUUGUCCGGAAUUAUUGGGCGUAAAGAGCUUGUAGGCGGUUUGUCGCGUCUGCUGUGAAAAUCCGAGGCUCAACCUCGGACUUGCAGUGGGUACGGGCAGACUAGAGUGUGGUAGGGGAGACUGGAAUUCCUGGUGUAGCGGUGGAAUGCGCAGAUAUCAGGAGGAACACCGAUGGCGAAGGCAGGUCUCUGGGCCAUUACUGACACUGAGAAGCGGAAAGCAUGGGGAGCGAACAGG